CCAAUAGCGUAUAUUAAAGUUGUUGCAGUUAAAAAGCUCGUAGUUGAACCUUGGGUCUGGCUGGCCGGUCCGCCUCACCGCGAGUACUGGUCCGGCUGGACCUUUCCUUCUGGGGAACCCCAUGGCCUUCACUGGCUGUGGGGGGAACCAGGACUUUUACUGUGAAAAAAUUAGAGUGUUCAAAGCAGGCCUUUGCUCGGAUACAUUAGCAUGGAAUAAUAGAAUAGGACGUGCGGUUCUAUUUUGUUGGUUUCUAGGACCGCCGUAAUGAUUAAUAGGGAUAGUCGGGGGCGUCAGUAUUCAGCUGUCAGAGGUGAAAUUCUUGGAUUUGCUGAAGACUAACUACUGCGAAAGCAUUCGCCAAGGAUGUUUUCAUUAAUCAGGGAACGAAAGUUAGGGGAUCGAAGACGAUCAGAUACCGUCGUAGUCUUAACCAUAAACUAUGCCGACUAGGGAUCGGGCGGCGUUUCUUUUAUGACCCGCUCGGCACCUUACGAGAAAUCAAAGUUUUUGGGUUCUGGGGGGAGUAUG
rnacentral:rRNA from 1 species